AACGAACGUUGGCGGCGUGGAUUAGGCAUGCAAGUCGAGCGAAUCCCCGCAAGGGGGGAAGCGGCGAAAGGGGCAGUAAGGCAUGGGUAACCUACCCUGGGGACUGGGAUAGCCCUUCGAGAGAAGGGGUAAUACCGGGCGAUGUGCCGGGCCGGCAUCGGUCAGUCACCAAAUGAGUUUCGCCCUGGGAGGGGCCCAUGUGAUAUUAGCUAGUUGGUGAGGUAACGGCGCACCAAGGCGAAGAUGUCUAGCGGGUGUGAGAGCACGACCCGCGCCACUGGCACUGAGACACUGGCCAGACACCUACGGGUGGCUGCAGUCGAGGAUCUUCGGCAAUGGGCGCAAGCCUGACCGAGCGACGCCGCGUGUGCGAUGAAGGCCUUCGGGUUGUAAAGCACUGUCGAGAGGGAGAAAAGCGAAAGCUUGAUCUAUCUCUGGAGGAAGCACGGGCUAAGUUCGUGCCAGCAGCCGCAGUAA
rnacentral:rRNA from 1 species